CGCCCGCUCAGAAACUCAAAUGAAUUGACGGGGCCCGCACAAGCGGUGGAGUAUGUGGUUUAAUUCGACGCAACGCGCAGAACCUUACCUAGACUUGACAUCCCGGGGAUUUUCUGGAAACAGAGAAGUGCUUUUAGCAAUAAAGAACCCGGUGACAGGUGCUGCAUGGCUGUCGUCAGCUCGUGUCGUGAGAUGUUGGGUUAAGUCCCGCAACGAGCGCAACCCUCGCCUUUAGUUGCCAGCAUUCAGUUGGGCACUCUAGAGGGACUGCCGGUGUCAAACCGGAGGAAGGUGGGGAUGACGUCAAGUCCUCAUGGCCUUUAUGUCUAGGGCUACACACGUACUACAAUUGGCCGGUACCUAAGGGCCAGCCCACUCAGCGAUGAGGCGCUAAUCCCAUAAAGCCGGUCUCAGUCCGGAUCGCAGUCUGCAACUCGACUGCGUGAAGUUGGAAUCGCUAGUAAUCGUAGAUCAGCAUGCUACGGUGAAUACGUUCCCGGGCCUU
rnacentral:rRNA from 1 species